rnacentral:lncRNA from 1 species
ACCCGCCACCCACACUCCGCUCCGCUGCCUGGCCUCCAGCGAGCUCCGCGCGUCUGAGAAGGAGCUAAGGGCUCCCUGGUUCAAAGGGCCGCAGCCCCGAGGGAAUGCCCUCUUCGUGUGCCCCGGGGUGCAGAAGCAGACUGCAGGGCGGUGGGACCAGCCUGGGCCACGAAAGAAAAUGAACAGGGUGGGGUGUGAGGCAAAGGCACUGGAAGCUAUGCCUCUGAAAAACAGUCGUCCUGCGGAGAAAGGUCACCUACAGACAGUUGAAGAAAGAAAUGUCAUGCAAACUUGACAUCACGGAAGAAACAUGACAUGUGGAUUAUUAAAGAGCAACUGGCUGACUUUUAACCCUGGGUGCAUUGCUCAGACCCCAUUACCUGUGCAUUUAUACCGGGAAGAAUUACAGGGUAUAUGAGCCACAAAGAGGAGAUGACAAAGCAGAGGUAAGAGGUUGUAAAAAUAUCAGGGAAAGCAGGAUGUAGAUCUCACCAUUUUCAACACUUAAAUGGAUGAGUAAUACAUUUCAGAAAAUUAAUUGCUCCUUUAAGAAGGGGGGUCAGUUUCUAAGUCCAAGGAGAAAGAGAUGGAUUUGAAAAAAGUGCAGCAUCUUCAUGCUGACUCUCAGGCACUCAGUUUCUCAGGGUUAAAAAAAUAAAACAAAACAAAAACUCUUGUUUACUUAAACAAAGUCUUAGCUUCAGAAACAAAAGCUAUAUCAAGGCAUUUUCUAUCUCUCCUUUUGGAUACAACUUCUACCUUCAUUCAGGUAUAAGCACUUCUCAACUGGUGAGAAACUUUGUUGCUAUGGGUCAUGGUCCACAGAUGGUGUUUCCUAAGUCAGAACUUUGUAAAACUGUAGAGAACUCAGAGAGUAUUUAAUUUGCGCUGCUAAUAAAAUGAUAAAAAUA